rnacentral:rRNA from 1 species
UGGAGUUACAAAGAAACCAUGUAGAUGAAUUGAUCUGGAACGAUCAGCCAAAGAAGGUAAGAGCCCUGUAAUCGAAAGAUGGUUUCCUCCGGAGUGGAUCCUGAGUACGGCGGAACACGUGAAAUUCCGUCGGAAUCCGGGAGGACCAUCUCCCAAGGCUAAAUACUUCCUAGUGACCGAUAGUGAACCAGUACCGUGAGGGAAAGGUGAAAAGCACCCCGGAAGGGGAGUGAAAGAGAUCCUGAAACCGUGUGCCUACAAGUAGUCGAAGCCCGUUAAUGGGUAACGGCGUACCUUUUGUAGAAUGGACCGGCGAGUUACGAUCUCCUGCAAGGUUAAGUUGUAUAGACGGAGCCGCAGCGAAAGCGAGUCUUAAAUAGGGCGAAGUAGUAGGGGGUCGUAGACCCGAAACCGUGUGAUCUACCCAUGUCCAGGGUGAAGGUCAGGUAACACUGACUGGAGGCCCGAACCCACGCGUGUUGAAAAACGCGGGGAUGAGGUGUGGGUAGGGGUGAAAUGCCAAUCGAACACGGAAAUAGCUGGUUCUCUCCGAAAUAGCUUUAGGGCUAGCCUCAAGCGAUGUGUACUGGAGGUAGAGCACUGAUUGAACUAGGGGCCCUCACCGGGUUACCGAAUUCAGUCAAACUCCGAAUGCCAGCUAUGCAAGCUUGGGAGUCAGACUAUGGGUGAUAAGGUUCAUAGUCGAAAGGGAAACAGCCCAGACCGCCAGCUAAGGUCCCAAAGUAUACGUUAAGUGGAAAAGGAUGUGGAGUUGCUUAGACAACCAGGAUGUUGGCUUAGAAGCAGCCAUCAUUUAAAGAGUGCGUAAUAGCUCACUGGUCGAGUGACUCCGCGCCGAAAAUAUACCGGGGCUAAACGUAUCACCGAAGCUGCGGAUUGUUCUUACGAACAAUGGUAGGAGAGCGUUCUAAGUGCCGUGAAGUCAGACCGUGAGGACUGGUGGAGCGCUUAGAAGUGAGAAUGCCGGUAUGAGUAGCGAAAUAGAAGUGAGAAUCUUCUACACCGAAUGCCUAAGGUUUCCUGAGGAAGGCUCGUCCGCUCAGGGUUAGUCGGGACCUAAGCCGAGGCCGAAAGGCGUAGGCGAUGGACAACAGGUGGAUAUUCCUGUACCACCUCAUGACCGUUUGAACGAUGGGGGGACGCAGUAGGAUAAGGAAAGCGCACAAUUGGAUGUGCGCCCAAGCAGUGAGUGAGUCAGAUAGGCAAAUCCGUCUGGCAAUCACAAGCUGUGAUGGGGAGGGAACAAAAGUACCGAAGUUCCUGAUUUCACACUGCCAAGAAAAGCCUCUAGUAAGGUCAUAGGUGCCCGUACCGCAAACCGACACAGGUAGGCGAGGAGAGAAUCCUAAGGUGAUCGGGAGAACUCUCGUUAAGGAACUCGGCAAAAUGACCCCGUAACUUCGGGAGAAGGGGUGCUUCUUUUGAACGAGAAGCCGCAGUGAAAAGGCCCAAGCGACUGUUUAGCAAAAACACAGGUCUCUGCGAAGCCGAAAGGCGAAGUAUAGGGGCUGACACCUGCCCGGUGCUGGAAGGUUAAGGGGAUGCGUUAGCCAUAUGGCGAAGCGUUGAACCGAAGCCCCAGUAAACGGCGGCCGUAACUAUAACGGUCCUAAGGUAGCGAAAUUCCUUGUCGGGUAAGUUCCGACCCGCACGAAAGGUGCAACGACUUGGGCACUGUCUCAACGAGAGACCCGGUGAAAUUAUACGAUGCGUGAAGAUGCGCAUUACCCGCGACAGGACGGAAAGACCCCGUGGAGCUUUACUGUAGCCUGAUAUUGCAUGUUGGUACAGCUUGUACAGGAUAGGUGGGAGCCUGAGACUCGUGAGCGCUAGCUUACGAUGAGGCGUCGGUGGGAUACCACCCUGGCUGUACGGACAUUCUAACCCAGAACCGUGAUCCGGUUCGGAGACAGUGUCAGGUGGGCAGUUUGACUGGGGCGGUCGCCUCCUAAAGAGUAACGGAGGCGCCCAAAGGUUCCCUCAGAAUGGUUGGAAAUCAUUCGCAGAGUGUAAAGGCAGAAGGGAGCUUGACUGCGAGACCUACAAGUCGAGCAGGGACGAAAGUCGGGCUUAGUGAUCCGGCGGUACCGAAUGGAAGGGCCGUCGCUCAACGGAUAAAAGCUACCCCGGGGAUAACAGGCUUAUCUCCCCCAAGAGUCCACAUCGACGGGGAGGUUUGGCACCUCGAUGUCGGCUCAUCGCAUCCUGGGGCUGUAGUCGGUCCCAAGGGUUGGGCUGUUCGCCCAUUAAAGCGGUACGCGAGCUGGGUUCAGAACGUCGUGAGACAGUUCGGUCCCUAUCCGUCGUGGGCG